ACUCCUACGGGAGGCAGCAGUGGGGAAUUUUGGACAAUGGGCGAAAGCCUGAUCCAGCCAUGCCGCGUGAGUGAAGAAGGCCUUCGGGUUGUAAAGCUCUUUCGGCUGGGAAGAAAUCGCACAGGCUAAUACUCUGUGUGGAUGACGGUACCAGCACAAGAAGCACCGGCUAACUACGUGCCAGCAGCCGCGGUAAUAC
rnacentral:rRNA from 1 species